CGUCGAUACAACCAAGCCAAUCAAAUCCCACCUUGCCUUCCUCCCUCCUCCUCCUCCACUCCGUCUCUCAUCAGAUUCCAAACACCGCGUCCGUCGUGAGCGCCGCGUGCCCGCGGGAUCCCCAAACCCCGGCCCCCGAUCCCCGAGCCGGCCCAUGCUUCCCUCCGCCGCGGCCCCGCCCACCCCCGCCGCCGCUCCCCUCCGCCGCUGUUGUAGCCUCCGCGCCCCGUGCUGUUGUUGCUGGUGCUGUUCCUGAGCUGUGUGUGAUUGGCUAGGGUUGCGGUUCUGCGCGAGGCGAUUUGGGGAGGAUUUCGGAGGAAGGCAUGGAUCUCUCGCGGCCGGAGUCGUCGGACCUCUCGCUCGGGCUCCACCCGCACGCCCACGCCCAUGCGCGCGUGCACGCGCGCGCCGCCACGCCGCUGCGGCUGUUCGACGACUCGGACGACGUCAAGACGGAGGGCAGCGUCGGGGGCGGCGGCGACGGCGAGGACGGGAACGACGAGGGCGCCGACCAGCACUUCUCGCUCCUCGGCCACUCGCUCUGCGUCAAGCGCCCGCGCCGCGGGCUCUACGGCGGCGGCGGGGGAGGGGAGACCUCCUCCUGCUCGUCCUCGUCCGCGGCGGCCAUGCGCCCCGCGAAGCGCCAGGCGUCGGGCGCGGAUCUGGAGGCGCGGCGCAGCGCGGUCCGCGCGUGGGGGAACCAGCCGCUCGCGGAGGCCGACCCGGACGUGCACGCGCUCAUGGAGCGCGAGAGGGAGCGCCAGGUGCGCGGCAUCGAGCUCAUCGCCUCGGAGAACUUCGUCUGCCGCGCCGUGCUCGACGCCCUCGGCAGCCACCUCACCAACAAGUACUCCGAGGGGCACCCGGGCGCUCGCUACUACGGCGGGAACCAGCACAUCGACGCCAUCGAGCGGCUCUGCCAUGAGCGCGCCUGCACCGCCUUCGGUCUCGACCCGGCCUGCUGGGGUGUCAAUGUCCAGCCCUACUCAUGCACCUCCGCGAACCUGGCGGUCUACACAGGGCUUCUCCUACCCAAUGACCGUAUCAUGGGCCUUGAGCCGCCGUCCGGUGGCCAUGUCAGCCACGGGUAUUACACGCCUAGUGGUAAGAAGGUGUCUGGCGCCUCGAUAUUCUUUGAGAGCUUGUCAUACAAGGUGAAUCCACAGACUGGCUAUAUUGAUUAUGACAAGCUUGAGGACCGGGCAAUGGAUUUCCACCCAAAGAUUCUUAUCUGUGGUGGGAGUUCCUACCCCAGGGAGUGGGACUUUGCACGGAUGAGGCUGAUAGCUGACAAGUGUGGCGCAGUGCUCAUGUGCGACAUGGCGCAUAUUAGCGGACUUGUUGCAGCGAAGGAAUGUCGCAGUCCAUUCGACUACUGUGACGUUGUUACCUCAACUACUCACAAGAACCUAAGGGGUCCUAGAGGUGGAAUAAUAUUUUUUAGGAAAGGGAAGAAUAUGAGGAAGCGAGGUGGAUCUUUUUCUCAAGGGGAUGAAAAUGAUUAUGAUUUUGAGGAUAAGAUAAAUUUCGCUGUAUUCCCUUCACUGCAAGGAGGGCCGCAUAAUAACCAUAUUGCUGCUUUAGCGAUAACGCUGAAGCAAGUUGCGACGCCUGAAUAUAAAGCAUACAUUCAACAAGUUAAGAAAAAUGCUCAAGCUUUGGCAUCGGCCUUGCUCAGAAGAAAAUGCAGAUUGGUUACUGGUGGCACUGAUAAUCACUUGGUGCUUUGGGACCUCAGAACUUUUGGCUUGACCGGGAAGAACUUUGAGAAGGUCUGUGAGCUGUGCCACAUCUCUAUAAAUAAGACACCGAUAUAUGGGGAUAAUGGCUCAAUAUCUCCCGGUGGCGUGCGUAUUGGAACACCUGCAAUGACUACUAGAGGUUGCCUAGAAGAUGACUUCGAGGUGAUCGCAGACUUCCUCAUAAGGGCGACACAGAUAGCUGGUAGUGUUCUGAAACAACACGGAAAAGUCCAGAAGGAAUUUCUAAGAGGCCUGGAGAACAAUAAGGACAUUAUAGAGCUCGGUAACCAGGUUGAGGCUUUCGCAUCACAGUUUGCGAUGCCAGGUUUUGAUGUAUGACUCUGCAUAUAUAUUACAUCUUCUUGGGGAUUGUCCAGAUUUAUCAGCAAAUAGCAACUAUUUCGUUAUCAGGCUGUUCACACAAAAUGGGAAGUUGUUGCUCUCAACAGCAACAGUGUAGGAAACGAUUUUUUAGUUGGAAAUUGGUUUCGACUCUUUGACUCUCAAGCAAUCAUGUACAGGUCUAUACCCUAAAGUCCUUUUAUGAUUUAUGUAUGUAGUGAAUCUUCACGUAAUGAGUUCUUAUAUUGUAUGUUUUGUCGCGUUUUUGGAACCUGAAGUGUUAAUAGGC
rnacentral:rRNA from 1 species